GCCCCCCCCCUCCAAGCAACCUCCACCUGCAAGCACUGCCCUGGCCAGCCACAGUUUCCCCUGCCCUGUCCCUGCACCCAGUCGUCCCUGUAAUCUAGUCGUAGUUCCGUUAUGGUCAUAGUUUCUCUUACCUCAGACAUCUAGUUUACGUUCCUUAUUACUAGUCUGAGUUUUCUGUUGAUUUCCAAACAUUGAGAAUAAAAGACCUUUUGUUACACCGCA